UACGUAGGGUGCAAGCGUUGUCCGGAAUUAUUGGGCGUAAAGAGCUCGUAGGCGGUCUGUUGCGUCGGCUGUGAAAACCCGGGGCUCAACUCCGGGCCUGCAGCCGAUACGGGCAGACUAGAGUUCGGCAGGGGGAGACUGGAAUUCCUGGUGUAGCGGUGAAAUGCGCAGAUAUCAGGAAGAACACCCGUGGCGAAGGCGGCUCUCUGGGACGGUACUGACGCUGAGACGCGAAAGCGUGGGGAGCGAACAGG
rnacentral:rRNA from 1 species